GUUUUUUUAUGAAAUAGAUCACAUGAGGUACUAUUAUAAAAGUAACUGGAAUCUCGUAUUGGUCGUUGGCGCAAUUCUUACUCUUUUGGACUUGACAUUUCUCUUCCUAACAUCUAGUAGAGAUCCGGGUAUUGUUCCUAGAAAUACAAGGCAUCUUGAACCAGAUGAAGCUGAUGUUCCUACACUGUCAACGGAUAAAACUUUAGAGUAAGCAUACUUGAGUCAUGGAGGACCCAAGAACCCUUUCUAGUUAUCAUUCCAAAGCUAAUAAGGAAUUUAUUGGAACGUUAAUAUGUGCCAUAGAAAUUUUGCGAUCAAGCUUGGUGAUUGGGUAAAUAUUAUCACUGGUCAAAAUGGAAACGGUCACAUUACAGGUACUAAAGAAGGCUGGUCGGCAAUCAGAACGUUUGGUGAGCCAUACAGAUUGCAAAUUUGAGAAACCAAUGGAGCAUGAGUGUGUGCAUUUCCAUGAGAUUACAGAAGCUGUUGGGACUGAAGAGGCAAAAGAAGAUGCUAUGUAUGAUAAAGAACUAAAGGAGGCCAUUAGAGGAGUACAGGAUGCUGUGACUGCUAUAAACUAGCAUUUGGAAGAGGUCAGAUAUGAAAUUGUGGCCCUUGAAUAUGAAUGAGUUAAUUUCAUAUUUUGAUUGCUUAAGGAGAUAGUCUCAUAGUUGCCAAACCAGCCCUGCAAAAAUGUAACAGCUAGAAAAAUGUAUAAUUUGCUAAUAACUAUAAAGAUGGUAUUAUUUUUGUGACGGUUUUGCCGUUCCCUAUCCCAUAUUUGCUGUUUUACAUGGUUCUCUGUAGCUCCCACUGUAAACAGCCCAAAUUUCCGUUCAAUUGAUUUAGUCUUUUAACAAGCACCAUUCUGAAGAGUAGUUGGACAUGAGCUUGUGCUUAGAUGAGUUUUUGUUGACCCUCUAGUGUCAUCUGUGGUCUUUAAGCAUUCCUCUAUGAAUUGUAUAUUUGAUCAAUUUCCCACUUUAAAACUCAGUGCCCUUUUUCACUUUGAUAAGUUUGACUCUUUUAUUUUUAUUUUUAUGGAUGACUUUGAAUAUCUUCUAAGUAACUAGUAAGUAUAUUUUGAAUAUCUUCGAAUGAGUAAAGGAGUAUGGUUUGUGAGAAACUAGAUGUGCUUAGAUAAUACUAUUCCCACCAUGUUUGGAGUGCUGGAGUAAUUCUUUACAUUCUGUUAAGUGGAGUGCCUCCAUUUUGGGCUGAGAGCGAGCAAGGGAUAUAUGAAGAAGUAUUACAUGGUGACCUAGACUUUUCAACAGACCCAUGGCCUAGUAUUUCUGAAGGUGCCAAAGAUUUAGUAAGGAAAAUGCUUAUUCGAGAUCCCAAAAGGCGGAUAUCUGCACAUGAUGUUUUGUGUUUGGAAGUAUUUUUGCUUCAUAUGUUCAGAGUGGACUGCAGGAAUUAAUGUAUUAGCAGGAUUUUUGAUGUGUGGAAAAGGUAGAAAGAAGUUCAUGAAAAACUUGGUAAUGUACGGAUGUAAGUAGGGGAUGGAGU